GAUGAACGCUGGCGGCGUGCUUAACACAUGCAAGUCGAACGGUGAAGGCGGAGCUUGCUCUGCUGGAUCAGUGGCGAACGGGUGAGUAACACGUGAGCAAUCUGCCCCUGACUCUGGGAUAAGCGCUGGAAACGGCGUCUAAUACUGGAUACGAGCUGCGAAGGCAUCUUCAGCAGCUGGAAAGAACUUCGGUCAGGGAUGAGCUCGCGGCCUAACAGCUUGUUGGUGAGGUAACGGCUCACCAAGGCGUCGACGGGUAGCCGGCCUGAGAGGGUGACCGGCCACACUGGGACUGAGACACGGCCCAGACUCCUACGGGAGGCAGCAGUGGGGAAUAUUGCACAAUGGGCGAAAGCCUGAUGCAGCAACGCCGCGUGAGGGACGACGGCCUUCGGGUUGUAAACCUCUUUUAGCAGGGAAGAAGCGAAAGUGACGGUACCUGCAGAAAAAGCGCCGGCUAACUACGUG
rnacentral:rRNA from 1 species